GACGAGCGCUGGCGGCGUGCUUAACACAUGCAAGUCGAACGGUGAAGCGCCUUCCUUUUUGGUGGGUGUGGAUGAGUGGCGAACGGGUGAGUAACACGUGAGUAACCUGCCCCCUUCUUCUGGAUAACCGCAUGAAAGUGUGGCUAAUACGGGAUAUUCUGGGUCUGUCGCAUGAUGGGUCUGGGAAAGAUAUUGUUUCGGUGGGGGAUGGGCUCGCGGCCUAUCAGCUUGUUGGUGGGGUGAUGGCCUACCAAGGCGGUGACGGGUAGCCGGCCUGAGAGGGUGGACGGUCACACUGGGACUGAGACACGGCCCAGACUACUACGGGAGGCAGCAGUGGGGAAUAUUGCACAAUGGGCGCAAGCCUGAUGCAGCGACGCCGCGUGAGGGAUGGAGGCCUGCGGGUUGUGAACCUCUUUCGCCAGUGAAGCAGGCCUGCCUCGUUUGUGGGUGGGUUGACGGUAGCUGGAUAAGAAGCGCCGGCUAACUACGUG
rnacentral:rRNA from 1 species